rnacentral:ncRNA from 2 species
CUUUACACACAAGUUUCAGGUUCCUUUCGAGGAUUAAUAGGGAACUCCGUGGAAUUCGGAGACGGGCCCGCCGCUGUAACCGGGGACGACCACCACAGUUCAGUCACUGACCUUCAGGUUGGGAAGGCGUGGUGGAAGGGUGAACCGGAAGUCAGAAUACCUGCCUGAAGCGUGACAGUCGC